UACGAAGGGGCUAGCGUUGCUCGGAAUCACUGGGCGUAAAGCGCACGUAGGCGGAUUGUUAAGUCAGGGGUGAAAUCCUGGAGCUCAACUCCAGAACUGCCUUUGAUACUGGCGAUCUUGAGUCCGGGAGAGGUGAGUGGAACUGCGAGUGUAGAGGUGAAAUUCGUAGAUAUUCGCAAGAACACCAGUGGCGAAGGCGGCUCACUGGCCCGGUACUGACGCUGAGGUGCGAAAGCGUGGGGAGCAA
rnacentral:rRNA from 1 species